rnacentral:rRNA from 1 species
CCUACGGGAGGCAGCAGUGAGGAAUAUUGGUCAAUGGGCGGGAGCCUGAACCAGCCAAGCCGCGUGAGGGAAGAAGGUACAGCGUAUCGUAACCCUCUUUUGUCAGGGAACAAAGGCGGGGACUAGUCCCCGGAUGAGGGUACCUGAAGAAAAAGCAUCGGCUAACUCCGUGCCAGCAGCCGCGGUAAUACGGAGGAUGCGAGCGUUAUCCGGAUUUAUGGGGUUUAAAGGGUGCGCAGGCGGCCUGUUAAGUCAGCGGUAAAGGCCCGGGGCUAAACCCCGGCGAGCCGUUGAAACUGGCGGGCUGGAGUUGGAGAGAAGUACGCGGAAUGCGCGGUGUAGCGGUGAAAUGCUUAGAUAUCGCGCAGAACCCCGAUGGCGAAGGCAGCGUACCGGCUCCACACUGACGCUGAGGCACGAAAGCGUGGGUAUCGAACAGGAUUAGAUACCCUAGUAGUC